GGGUUGUGAGGUUAAGCGACUAAGCGUACACGGUGGAUGCCCUGGCAGUCAGAGGCGAUGAAGGACGUGCUAAUCUGCGAUAAGCGUCGGUAAGGUGAUAUGAACCGUUAUAACCGGCGAUUUCCGAAUGGGGAAACCCAGUGUGUUUCGACACACUAUCAUUAACUGAAUCCAUAGGUUAAUGAGGCGAACCGGGGGAACUGAAACAUCUAAGUACCCCGAGGAAAAGAAAUCAACCGAGAUUCCCCCAGUAGCGGCGAGCGAACGGGGAGCAGCCCAGAGCCUGAAUCAGUGUGUGUGUUAGUGGAAGCGUCUGGAAAGGCGCGCGAUACAGGGUGACAGCCCCGUACACAAAAAUGCACAUGCUGUGAGCUCGAUGAGUAGGGCGGGACACGUGGUAUCCUGUCUGAAUAUGGGGGGACCAUCCUCCAAGGCUAAAUACUCCUGACUGACCGAUAGUGAACCAGUACCGUGAGGGAAAGGCGAAAAGAACCCCGGCGAGGGGAGUGAAAAAGAACCUGAAACCGUGUACGUACAAGCAGUGGGAGCACGCUUAGGCGUGUGACUGCGUACCUUUUGUAUAAUGGGUCAGCGACUUAUAUUCUGUAGCAAGGUUAACCGAAUAGGGGAGCCGAAGGGAAACCGAGUCUUAACUGGGCGUUAAGUUGCAGGGUAUAGACCCGAAACCCGGUGAUCUAGCCAUGGGCAGGUUGAAGGUUGGGUAACACUAACUGGAGGACCGAACCGACUAAUGUUGAAAAAUUAGCGGAUGACUUGUGGCUGGGGGUGAAAGGCCAAUCAAACCGGGAGAUAGCUGGUUCUCCCCGAAAGCUAUUUAGGUAGCGCCUCGUGAAUUCAUCUCCGGGGGUAGAGCACUGUUUCGGCAAGGGGGUCAUCCCGACUUACCAACCCGAUGCAAACUGCGAAUACCGGAGAAUGUUAUCACGGGAGACACACGGCGGGUGCUAACGUCCGUCGUGAAGAGGGAAACAACCCAGACCGCCAGCUAAGGUCCCAAAGUCAUGGUUAAGUGGGAAACGAUGUGGGAAGGCCCAGACAGCCAGGAUGUUGGCUUAGAAGCAGCCAUCAUUUAAAGAAAGCGUAAUAGCUCACUGGUCGAGUCGGCCUGCGCGGAAGAUGUAACGGGGCUAAACCAUGCACCGAAGCUGCGGCAGCGAC
rnacentral:rRNA from 2 species